rnacentral:rRNA from 1 species
GACGAACGCUGGCGGCGUGCUUAACACAUGCAAGUCGAACGGAAAGGCCCUGCUUUUGUGGGGUGCUCGAGUGGCGAACGGGUGAGUAACACGUGAGUAACCUGCCCUUGACUUUGGGAUAACUUCAGGAAACUGGGGCUAAUACCGGAUAGGAGCUCCUGCUGCAUGGUGGGGGUUGGAAAGUUUCGGCGGUUGGGGAUGGACUCGCGGCUUAUCAGCUUGUUGGUGGGGUAGUGGCCUACCAAGGCUUUGGCGGGUAGCCGGCCUGAGAGGGUGACCGGCCACAUUGGGACUGAGAUACGGCCCAGACUCCUACGGGAGGCAGCAGUGGGGAAUAUUGCACAAUGGGCGGAAGCCUGAUGCAGCAACGCCGCGUGCGGGAUGACGGCCUUCGGGUUGUAAACCGCUUUCGCCUGUGACGAAGCGUGAGUGACGGUAAUGGGUAAAGAAGCACCGGCUAACUACGUG